rnacentral:sRNA from 1 species
GUCUCCCUCAUCAACCCUACCCUUAACGAGGGCG